rnacentral:misc_RNA from 1 species
AGAUAAUGUCACUAAUGAAGGAGAUGAAACAAAAUUGCUGGUGAUGAGGGAGCUUUUAGAUGACACAAAUCAAGGAGAAACUGUAUUUAGUUCAAACCCAAAUGGUGAUAUUUAUAUCGCAGAAAACCCAACUACAGUUUUGAUGUCCAACGUAAAAGAAUUUGCAGAAUCUAGACAGAGUGUUCUUGGUGAAGAACAGCCCCCACAGCCAGUAGAAUCUACGUAUAAUAGCUUUAAAGAGACAGAACCUAUAAAUGUUAUGGAUAAAGGCUGUCAAGCGAAUGAGCAGAUUAAAG